ACCAGUACCGUGAGGGAAAGGUGAAAAGCACUUCGAACAGAAGAGUGAAAUAGUUCCUGAAACCGUGCGCCUACAAGCGGUCGGAGCUCGUUAAUGAGUGACGGCGUGCCUUUUGCAUAAUGAACCUACGAGUUGCCUUUGCCGGCAAGGUUAAGUGUGACGACACACGUAUCCGAAGCGAAAGCGAGUCUGAACAGGGCGUAUAGUCGGCAGUGGCAGACGCGAAACCAAGUGAUCUACCCUUGGCCAGGUUGAAGGCUGGGUAACACCAGCUGGAGGACCGCACCAAUAAGCGUUGAAAAGCUUCUGGAUGAGCUGAGGGUAGGGGUGAAAGGCUAAUCAAACUUGGAGAUAGCUCGUACUCCCCGAAAUGCAUUUAGGUGCAGCCUUGCGGGUUACUGAUGUGAGGUAGAGCGACUGAUAAGAUGCGAGGGCUUCACCGCCUAUCAAGUCUUGACAAACUCCGAAUGCGCAUCAGUUCUACCGCAGGAGUGAGGGCAUGGGUGCUAAGGUCCGUGCCCGAGAGGAGAAGAAUCCGGACCACCUGCUAAGGUCCCGAAAUGACAGCUAAGUUAAACUAACGAAGUCUGACUGCUAAGACAGCUAGGAUGUUGGCUUGGAAGCAGCCAUUCAUUUAAAGAGUGCGUAACAGCUCACUAGUCGAGGAGUCGGGCGUGGAUAAUAAUCGGGUAUCAAGUUGUCUACCGAAGCAGUGGGAUCAUUAAUAUGAUCGGUAGGGGAGCAUUCCAGUCAGCGUCGAAGGCGUACCGUGAGGUAUUCUGGAGCGUCUGGAAAAGCAAAUGUAGGUAUAAGUAACGAUAAAGGGGGCGGGAAACCCCCUCGCCGAAAGACUAAGGUUUCCUGAUCAACGCUAAUCGGAUCAGGGUUAGUCGGGUCCUAAGGCUCAGCCGAACGGCGAUGCCGAUGGCAGAAACGGUUAAUAUUCCGUUACUACCUUCAGGAGUGACGUGGAGACGCAGUAGUGACAGUGCCGCCAUCUGACGGAAUAGAUGGUUGAAGGGUGUAGGAGUCGAUCAUGGCAGGCAAAUCCACCAUGAGAUCCGAACCUGACAGUAUGCCGCGUCCUUCGGGACAAGGCAAUAGUGCGCGUAAGCAUGCUGCCGAGAAAAUCCGCUAAACUUAAUCCUGCAGGUACCCGUACCGCAAACGGACACACGUAGUCGGGAUGAAUAUUCUAAGGCGCUUGAGUGAUUCACGGUUAAGGAACUAGGCAAACUGACCCUGUAACUUCGGGAUAAAGGGUCCCUACCCUUUUAUGGGAGGGCGCAGAGAAUCGGUCCAGGCAACUGUUUAACAAAAACACAGGGCUGUGCCAAAUCGAAAGAUCCAGUAUACAGCCUGACACCUGCCCGGUGCUGGAAGGUUAAGAGGAGAUGUCAUCGAUAAGAGAAGCGUUGAAUUGAAGCCCCAGUAAACGGCGGCCGUAACUAUAACGGUCCUAAGGUAGCGAAAUUCCUUGUCGGGUAAGUUCCGACCUGCACGAAUGGUGUAAUGAUCUGGACACUGUCUCAACCGUGAGCUCAGUGAAAUUGUAGUAUCGGUGAAGAUGCCGAUUACCCGCGAUGGGACGAAAAGACCCCGUGAACCUUUACUAUAGCUUAUCAUUGAAUCUGGGCACGUGAUGUGUAGGAUAGGUCGGAGGCUUUGAAGCAGGUACGCCAGUAUUUGUGGAGCCGCUGUUGAAAUACGACCCUUUAUUUGUUUGGAUUCUAACCCGUGGAACGGGGACAUUGAUUGGUGGGUAGUUUGACUGGGGUGGUCGCCUCCAAAAGCGUAACGGAGGCUUCUAAAGGUGCCCUCCGGCCGAUUGGUAACCGGCCUUAGAGUGUAAUGGCAUAAGGGCGCUUGACUGGGAGACU
rnacentral:rRNA from 1 species